UACGUAGGGGGCAAGCGUUGUCCGGAAUCAUUGGGCGUAAAGAGCGUGUAGGCGGCCAGAAAAGUCCGAUGUGAAAACUCGAGGCUCAACUUCGAGCUGUCGGUGGAAACUUUCUGGCUAGAGUCCGGAAGAGGAGAAUGGAAUUCCUGGUGUAGCGGUGAAAUGCGCAGAUAUCAGGAAGAACACCCGUGGCGAAGGCGGUUCUCUGGGACGGUACUGACGCUGAGACGCGAAAGCGUGGGGAGCGAACAGG
rnacentral:rRNA from 1 species